UGUUGGGUUAAGUCCCGCAACGAGCGCAACCCUUGUUCCUAGUUGCCAGCAUUGAGUUGGGCACUCUAGGGAGACUGCCGGUGACAAACCGGAGGAAGGUGAGGAUGACGUCAAGUCAGCAUGCCCCUUACGCUCUGGGCUACACACGUGCUACAAUGGCGCGGACAAAGGGUCGCGAGCGCGCGAGCGUGAGCCAAUCCCAAAAACCGCGUCUCAGUUCAGAUCGCAGGCUGCAACUCGCCUGCGUGAAGGCGGAAUCGCUAGUAAUCGCAGAUCAGCAUGCUGCGGUGAAUACGUUCCCGGGCCUUGUACACACCGCCCGUCACACCAUGGGAGCUGGCCAUGCCCGAAGUCGGAGCACCCGCCGAAGGCAGGGCUGGUGACUGGGGUGAAGUCGUAACAAGGUAGCCGUACCGGAAGGUGCGGCUGGAUCACCUCCUUU
rnacentral:rRNA from 1 species